rnacentral:pre_miRNA from 1 species
GAAAGAAAACACGAAAAUCGAGGAGUGAAUUUGGACUAAACCUUAGUCCAAAUUCACUCCUCGAUUUCCGUGUUUUCUUUC